ACUGCAGAAAGAAUCUCUAUAUCCUUUUUGAAUUUAGGAAAGAUGCAUUCGGCUUAGAAAGCAGUUUAUGGAGCUGCAGGGCAAGGGGAAAACAUUGGCGUCAGCAAAUCCUGAGUUAAAAACUCAGUGGAAGAAGAAAACUAAGAUGAAGAGCGUUCAUAGGAAGAGCCCAUGCCAGAUGGGGGUCCAACAGGUGGAUGGAAGAAAAUCCACUUGAAUGUCCAUUUUCAAUGGAUUACUCUAACAUCCCUAAUUGAAGACUAAUGUUCUAGUUACAGAACAGCCCAACACUCAAACGUGCAAGAUAUUCUCAUACAACAAAAGCACCCAGCAGCCGAUCUGUGUGAAGCAAAGAGAACAGAAACUGACCAAGACUCAAAACUGAGGUUCACUCCUGACUCGGCUACCCACCCCAGAAGGGCGGAAGAAGCAGAAGGACAAGGAACAACUGCAGACUCUGCAACGUAUUUCUAUUUUGCCCCCAGCCCCCAAGUCAAGCAAGUUGUUGGCUGCACCGUGAUUCUCUCGCAAACAGGUCUCAGCUUUAGAAGACCGCUGCCAGCCAGAGUCAAGAGUACUGGAAUUAGCUAGCCUCUCAGGCUACAAACCCUCCAAAGGUGGUUUAUGACUAAACAUACAAUAACAAAAUGACAGUGACUCAUCAGGAUCUUUCCCGCAAGGCGAUGGCUUCUUCCUGUGGGGCAAGGGAGACUCUAACAACAUCUGGGCAGCCACAGGUUCCCCAUCUCUGCUCCAGGGUGGCAGUGGGGACAAUUGAGCUGGUUCUUAUAAUCUUUUCCACCUGCUUUCCUUGUUUGCUACUUAAAUAGCUCACAUGGUCGAUCCCGCAACAUGGUGAUGAG